UACAUGGGUGGCGAACGUUAUCCGGAUUUAUUGGGCGUAAAGGGUGCGUAGGUGGUUGAAUAAGUUACUGGUGGUAAAUCAGAGCUCAACUCUGUGGAAGCCAGUAAGGCGGUAGCAAUACUGUCUGAAAAAUACUAUUGAACUAGAGGGUCGGAGAGGUUAACGGAAUUCUAUGUGUAGCGGUAAAAAUGCGUAUAUAUAGAGGAACACCAAUCGGCGAAGGCAGUUAACUAUUCGAUUCCUGACGUGAGGCACGAAAGCGUGGGGGAGCAAG
rnacentral:rRNA from 1 species